rnacentral:rRNA from 1 species
CGGCGUGCCUAAUACAUGCAAGUCGAGCGAACAGAAAAGGAGCUUGCUCCUUUGACGUUAGCGGCGGACGGGUGAGUAACACGUGGGCAACCUACCCUAUAGUUUGGGAUAACUCCGGGAAACCGGGGCUAAUACCGAAUAAUCUUUUUUGCUUCAUGGCAAGAGACUGAAAGACGGCAUCUCGCUGUCGCUAUAGGAUGGGCCCGCGGCGCAUUAGCUAGUUGGUGAGGUAACGGCUCACCAAGGCGACGAUGCGUAGCCGACCUGAGAGGGUGAUCGGCCACACUGGGACUGAGACACGGCCCAGACUCCUACGGGAGGCAGCAGUAGGGAAUCUUCCACAAUGGGCGAAAGCCUGAUGGAGCAACGCCGCGUGAGUGAAGAAGGUUUUCGGAUCGUAAAACUCUGUUGUAAGGGAAGAACAAGUACAGUAGUAACUGG